rnacentral:rRNA from 1 species
AUUGAACGCUGGCGGCAGGCCUAACACAUGCAAGUCGAGCGGAUGAAGGGAGCUUGCUCCUGGAUUCAGCGGCGGACGGGUGAGUAAUGCCUAGGAAUCUGCCUGGUAGUGGGGGAUAACGUCCGGAAACGGGCGCUAAUACCGCAUACGUCCUGAUGGAGAAAGUGGGGGAUCUUCGGACCUCACGCUAUCAGAUGAGCCUAGGUCGGAUUAGCUAGUUGGUGGGGUAAAGGCCUACCAAGGCGACGAUCCGUAACUGGUCUGAGAGGAUGAUCAGUCACACUGGAACUGAGACACGGUCCAGACUCCUACGGGAGGCAGCAGUGGGGAAUAUUGGACAAUGGGCGAAAGCCUGGUCCAGCCAUGCCGCGUGUGUGAAGAAGGUCUUCGGAUUGUAAAGCACUUUAAGUUGGGAGGAAGGGCAGUAAGUUAAUACCUUGCUGUUUUGACGUUACCAACAGAAUAAGCACCGGCUAACUUCGUG